rnacentral:rRNA from 1 species
AUUGAACGCUGGCGGCAGGCCUAACACAUGCAAGUCGAGCGGAGCGGCGGACGGGUGAGUAAUGCCUAGGAAUCUGCCUGGUAGUGGGGGAUAACGUCCGGCAACGGGCGCUAAUACCGCAUACUAUCAGAUGAGCCUAGGUCGGAUUAGCUAGUUGGUGGGGGAAAGGCCUACCAAGGCGACGAUCCGUAACUGGUCUGAGAGGAUGAUCAGUAACACUGGAACAGAGACACGGUCCGGAAUCCUACGGGAGGCAGAAGUGGGAAAGAUUGGACAAGGGGCGAAAGCCGGAUGCAGCCAUGCCGCGUGUGUGAAGAAGGUCUUCGGAUGGUAAGGCACUUUAAGUUGGGAGGCGUUACCAACAGAAUAAGCACCGGCUAACUUCGUGCCAGCAGCCGCGGUAAUUC